rnacentral:rRNA from 1 species
GACGGAGGAUGCAAGCGUUAUCCGGAAUGAUUGGGCGUAAAGCGUCCGCAGGUGGCAGUUCAAGUCAGCUGUGAAAUCUCCGGGCUUAACUCGGAACGGUCAGCUGAUACUGCUUUGCUAGAGUGCAGAAGGGGCAAUCGGAAUUCUUGGUGUAGCGGUGAAAUGCGUAGAUAUCAAGAGGAACACCUGAGGUGAAGACGGGUUGCUGGGCUGACACUGACGCUGAGGCGCGAAAGCUAGGGUAGCAAACGGG